rnacentral:misc_RNA from 1 species
GCUAACAGGGAGAUGCCAAUGACGUUAAGCGGGAGAGGCUCGCCGUCUCCUGCGCCACUCAGGCGACAGUUUGCCAAGAAGCCGGCGUUUAACGUGACCUCGCCGGUGCUGGCGAGUCUCAGCACCUUUGCUGAGUAUGCUGAUCGGCGCCAUGAACUCUUGGUAGACAUUCACGACGGACUCGAGGAUGAUGUGCGUAAAAUGGAGGAGCGGGCUAGACAGGCUGUCGCCCACGCAUCGGCAGUGACUGAAGCCUGCAGGGCUCAGGAGGCAGAGUGCCUAGAGUACAUUGAAAGACUGGAGGACAAUAUCAGGGACUUGCAUCGGGCCAAGCAGGAGUGUGCGGCAGAGCUGAAAGGCCUUCAGACGUCGACGGAAAGGAGCCGCCAGGACCUAGAGAAGGAGCUUCACGAUCUGCGCCAGGCCGUCGAGGAGACGCGGCGGCAGAAGCUGCUCGCCCAAGAAGAGCAGCAGCACUACGAAAUGCUCCGCGACGCCGCAAAACGCCACUACGAGCUGAUCGAGGCGUACCUGGAGGAAUUCACAGCGAAGGUCGAGUUUCACUUCCAUGAGGCUGUCGCAUCUCUCCAGGCAACGGCGCAAGAGCGGAAGCGGUGGGCAGACGAGCAGCGCGCACUCAAUGAGAAGCGCGUUCGCGAGGCCGCUCUGGGAGCAGAGAAGAGCGACUUCAGCGCCUUUCUUUGCCGUGCCACCGAGGAUGCCGAGAGGACGGGCGCCGCGAAGCCUGCAGAACAACGCGCAGCGGCUGUGGAGCCGCAACUCAUGCGCGACUUGGAGCGUGAUGUCGCGGCACUUGCGGCGUCUGUGGCAGCUCGAUUACAACUCAUCGUGGAACAGGAGAGCGCAGCCGAAGCCGGACUUGAAAGACUGCCACUGCGCAUCACUGAUGAAAGCUGCGACUUGAUUUACUCGUUGUGUCGAACUGCUGCUCAGUCGACGCUGGAGGGAGACCAGGAGAGCUGGAAGAGGGAUCAACGGGACAGCUGCGAAGCUGCAUCUGUCUCCCAUGCAACACGGGCGCUCGGCACUUUGGAGGUAACGGUGACGCAUGCGCUGCUCGACCUGUGUGCAGCGGCCGCUUCGGCCUCGUCAACACCAAGCGCGAAAUGUCGUGCGUGCCCUCACGAAUCCCCGACAGGAGCAGCGGCGCCUCUCCACAUCCGUGCCGCCAAUGCAUCUGCCAGCUCGAGUGUACCACCGUCAAGCGCCGGAAAGGCACUGCCCCCCACUCCAGUGCAGGCGCCAUCGUUGCCGGGGUCGUCUCGUCGGCAGAGCGAAAGCGUGACAUUCCCAGAACGCCGGCUCAUCGACGAUUUCUCGUGCACCACAGACGCGUUCGCGACCAUCUUUACUCCUCGCAAGUGAUGGCGGCGGCACCAAGCUCACGAGACACUUGCUGGGUGGGCUUUCGCACGUUUGUCUCCUCCUCUCUACCUCUCACGUGCGUCAC